GUGGUGGCAGGCAGGACUCCCCUGGGGCUGCCCUUUGGUGCCUCUGGAAUGUCCACACACGCCUCUCUGCUCUGUGGUCAGUCGGUGGCUGUGAGUUCACAGCCCCACAGGGCUUUGGGUGAGAGCAAGGACGUCUUUCAAAAACCACAAGCUGCUGGAAGAGCCUCCCCCACUUACUCAGAUGUUUCUUUCUCUACAGUUGUUUUCUCUUUCGAGGUUACAGCAGUCAGAAUUAAAAGCUGUAGCCUUGACUCCAAGGCAGAGUUCUUCCUCCCGGGGUCUGCGGUCCAUUCCAUGCGUGCUGGAUGAUUGCAUUUAAGUUUUCUGAAAGAAAAUGCGCAAGUCCUCUGAGUGAUGUCUAUCACGGAAGUUGUAAAACUGUGCCGAGUGUGACCACAGCUUGUGCCUAGAAAUGGACUGAAGAAAACAUCCUAAAACGUUCACAGCGAGUUGUCCCACUGAGUGAUUCCUUUUUUCUACGUCUAUAUUUCUACUUUUCUGUAAUGUUCCCAUAUUAUUUCUAAAAUGAAGAAGCCGGUUUUAUAUCCAUGUAUUUGUAAGCAUCUUGUUCACAGUGCUUGCUUGUUCCACAGUGAUUGGUGGAGUCGCCUGAUCUUGUGUCUGUUCAAGCCUCAGUCAACAACCUGGGAGGCCUCUUCCGUCACCAAGUCACCGUGAACUCACACGGCCCUCCUGCCUCUUCCUCUAAGCUCCUUCACCAGGAGAACUGAUGGUCACAUCUACCUUGUUGGACUGUCAUGAGGUACAAAUAGGAUGGUGAUGAUAAACGUUCUUGAAGAACCACAGAGCAUCGUGAAAGAGAAGAACCUACUGCAUUUUAAUCCAAUAUUUUUAAAAUCAUGGGUUGCAACCCAUUAGCUGGUCCUGAAAUCAAGUUAUUGAGAUGGCCACCAUCACUAAAAAACGAAAUAGGACAAAACAGAAAGUAGAGAGCGCCACCUUCAAGUGGAAAACGACAUCACCAUCUACUCAGGUGCUCAAGCUCAAAGCCAGGUAGUUCUGCUGGCCCCACCCCUUUUGUGGUCCACCCUGCCGGCUGAUCUUUCUUCUUCAUUCUUGCCGGGGUCUAGUCAACAGGUACCGCCUCAGAGGAGCUCCCUGACCCCUCCGUCUGGAUCAGCCUCCAAACCUACCCCUGCCUUUCUCUAGCACAUGUUGCCCUCUUUUGUAUUUUUUAGUAACAGUUCCAACUGAAAUUAUCUUGUUUGUUCUGGCAAAUGUAUCUGGUAUUGCUCUCCCCACCAGCGUGGCAGAGACCUGGUCUUUCUCUGUCCUGUCUCCGUGCUGACAUCAGUUCAGGGCUUCUGGUAGAAGAGUCACCAAUAACUAUUGACCCAGUGAAAACGUUCCUGAACUAAACUCGUGUUUCCUGAAAUAUUCUCUUCUACCUUUUUGUCAUGGUGCCUGCUGUUUCCUCUGCCCAAAGGGCACCAUAUCCACUUGUUCCCUUGGCAGGCUCCUAUUCAUCCUUUAAGAUUGCACCUGCUCUAUAAAAAACUUCCCGAUGCCCCUGGACUGAGCUCAUCCUUGUUCUCUUGAAGCUACAGCCCCUUUCGCUCACCAAAUGCCGUUGUUUUCAUACUGGAUUUCCCUGCUGGGCUGUGAGCUUCCCCAGGGCAAGGCUGUGGGCACUCAUGCUUUCUGUCUCCUCAACUCCUCACAUGUAAUUCAUCCAUACAGUUAUUCAGUAAAUGUUUGUUGAUUGAGUAAACAAAUGUAAGAAAGCAGAUGAUCAAGAAAGAUGAUUAUUUGUGAUGAUGUUCUCUGAUUUCAACUAUAAGCAAACAAAAUUCUAGAUUUAAGGAAAGGGAAAGAUAAGUCUGUGUGGAUGCCAUAUAGAGCAGUGUUGGGGGGAGGGAGGGAGUAAAGAGGAUGAGAGCAUAAUUAUUCUGUAUAAAAUAGGUCUAUUCAUAACACGGACCAUUUUAAACUUCAAGCUGUCUGAGCGCAUUUACAAUCCGAUACAGCCGACAGGUUUCAUUUCCUCACGGUUUUUAGGAGCAGACGGUGAGGUGAAGUGAGGGAACAGCGUGAACGCUGAGAAAGCUCAUGUGCCCGUGGUUCCAGGUGUGGCCUGGCCCGGCCAGGACCGUGGGGGUCCGCCCGGCUCCCAGUGAGAGUCUGAGAUCCUAUGAGGAAAUGUGAGUAAUAGAAAGCGGGGGUGGAAAGAAGAGGAAAAAUGUCCUGAAAUAUAUGUAUAUAUAAAUGAAAUUUAUAUAUAAAUAUGUGUGUAAUAAAAAUAUCUUGUUUUCCCUGGAUUUGCGUUUUCUCUUAAUAGAGCUGUUACCUGCUCUUCACCAUCUUAAAUAAAACUCACCAGCUGGAAAGAAGCCAAACCACUUACAAGCAAACCUAUUUUCUUUGCUAUCCUUUUAUCUUUUCCUAAAAGGCCCCCCUCACUUGCCUUCAGAUGCCAGCUCUAGAGGGUUCUUUAAAGUGGGAGGGAGAGGGGGCAAAAGCAGAGGUGAGAUCUCUAAACCACCUAACUGUGUAGGAAAAUCGGCCUCUCUUCUUUCUUCCCAGAGUAAGUAGUAGGAGAGGGUCCACAUUGCCCAGGGAGCUUCAGGAGAGGGGCCCCUCUGGCAACGCCCUUGCCCUGCGGGGCUGGGGCUGGCUCACCCUGCUUGGUUUCAGGGUGGCAGGGAGGACCCAGCUGCACGGUUUCUUCUCUGAAUCCCGUUGUUAAAGGUUCAGUUGUUUGGGCUAAUAGACGGCUCCACUUAAAUAAGCCCUGGUCCACUCACAAGCACAGCCUGGCUGUGAUUGUGUAAUUCUGUGACUCAGCCAAAACGGCUGCCCUAGGGAAUCGUAAUUUCGAGAGAUGGAAGAAUGACAGGGCCUUGCAGAUCCCUGGUGAUGUAGGGAAUUGGAUGACCCCAUGCCAGGGGGAGACUGGUCUUGAUUAGAAAAGGAGUGACCAGCAGACGGUCUAGACGCCCAGGUUCACCCGGGUCACAGCUCAUCAGGGGAAACUCUCCAGCCAGCCGAGGGAGGCAGAAGAAAGGAUUUUUUUAUUUUUAAGAAACAAUCAAAAAAUAAGAAAGAAUAGUUUAUUUUAUAAUUAAAUAAAAAAUUAAUUUUAAAAUUAAAGAAAUUUCAGAGGAGCAAAACUGCUUUACCCUAGAUACCAUGACUUAGAACUGUUGGAUCUUCUAGAGGCCGACCCGGUGGCUGAGUGGUUAAGUUCACACGCUCCACUAUGGUGGCCCAGGGUUUCAUCGGUU